UACGUAGGGUGCGAGCGUUGUCCGGAAUUAUUGGGCGUAAAGCGCGCGCAGGUGGUUUCUUAAGUCUGAUGUGAAAGCCCACGGCUCAACCGUGGAGGGUCAUUGGAAACUGGGGAACUUGAGUGCAGAAGAGGAAAGUGGAAUUCCAAGUGUAGCGGUGAAAUGCGUAGAGAUUUGGAGGAACACCAGUGGCGAAGGCGACUUUCUGGUCUGUAACUGACACUGAGGCGCGAAAGCGUGGGGAGCGAACAGG
rnacentral:rRNA from 1 species